rnacentral:lncRNA from 1 species
AAUGGACCCAUGCCCUCAACCAUCUCUAGGUGGUGGCCAUCUCUCCUUGAAUGACUGGAGCCACUGACUGGGUGUCCUGUACUAAGAAUGUGAGGCCCAAGUCUGAAUGGGACCAGUGCCCGAGGCAGGUGAACCCAGAACCUUCCAAGUGGUUUUAGGGGUGAGCCCAUUAAUAAGGGAGGAAUAGGCUGUGAACAAGUCCAUUUUGGACCUAAGACGUUGAUUUCUGAGCAUGGCUCUGGUGUUAUCCCAUGGAGCAGGAGAUGAAUGCUGGCAGGGAGCAAUUCCAGUGCAGCUCUCAGGAAAUGUAGUAGAGAAGACUUCUAGGAUAUUAACGCUUAAAAGUAGAAAAAGUCCAGGGCUCCAAAGAGAUGCUCUCCCAUUUUCCCUCUCUUUGCCACUUCCCAAAGCACUUGGGAGAUCAUUUCCAGAAUGCACAUUCCAAAUUCCUGGAAGUGGAAAUUAACCCAGUUUCCUGUGAGGAGAGUUGAGAGGAAGGAGGAGGGAGAGAGCAGUGGUCCCUGAUUUCAGCAGGUCCCAGCUGUGUCCCAGCAUAUUAAAUAGAGUGACUGUACAGAGAAUCUGUUUUUGGGUUUUAAUAAUCUCAUUCCAGAUAGCCUUAUAGUCCCUGUAAAUAUGGAGCAUCCAAAAUUAAUAUAUUGUGUUAUAGAAAAUAUUUUGUACCGCAUUUGUUUCCUAAGUAAUGUCACCCUCCUUGGUGUCAUGUACUUGUAUGAAUACGACCCCCAAGAAUGCUCUGUCAAGUUUUUAAAGAAUAUAUAUAUAUAUAUUAUAUUUUCUAAUAUUUCUGCUGUGAUCAUUCCUCAGAUUUAGGCAGUAAUGGCAGACGGAAAUUGAGUUCUGCUAGAAAAAAGAAAUUCUAUCGUCUCCGCACCCUUGCUUUUUAUUGUUGCCUUGUGGGCAAACAGGCUAGUUCUGUGAACUCUGAACAAAUUUAAGCCAGAUCAUGGGCACUUUAGACAUCCUAGAAAGGACCCCCAGUCAGGUUUGUAGAAAAUACAUCAGUAUACAAAGGCUAUAUUUUUAAUGUCAGAUGGAAAGAGUGUAUCUUGGG